rnacentral:rRNA from 1 species
UACGUAGGGUCCGAGCGUUGUCCGGAAUUACUGGGCGUAAAGAGCUCGUAGGUGGUUUGUCGCGUUGUUCGUGAAAACUCACAGCUUAACUGUGGGCGUGCGGGCGAUACGGGCAGACUAGAGUACUGCAGGGGAGACUGGAAUUCCUGGUGUAGCGGUGGAAUGCGGCAGAUAUCAGGAGGAACACCGGUGGCGAAGGCGGGUCUCUGGGCAGUAACUGACGCUGGAGGAGCGAAAGCGUGGGGAGCGAACAGG